UGGAGCGGCCGAUAUCUGAUUAGCUAGUUGGUGAGGUAAAGGCUCACCAAGGCGACGAUCAGUAGCUGGUCUGAGAGGACGACCAGCCACACUGGAACUGAGACACGGUCCAGACUCCUACGGGAGGCAGCAGUGGGGAAUUUUGGACAAUGGGCGCAAGCCUGAUCCAGCAAUGCCGCGUGAGUGAAGAAGGCCUUCGGGUUGUAAAGCUCUUUUGUCAGGGAAGAAACGGUAGGGGCUAAUAUCCCUUGCUAAUGACGGUACCUGAAGAAUAAGCACCGGCUAACUACGUGCCAGCAGCCGCGGUAAUACGUAGGGUGCAAGCGUUAAUCGGAAUUACUGGGCGUAAAGCGUGCGCAGGCGGUUUUGUAAGUCUGUCGUGAAAGCCCCGGGCUCAACCUGGGAAUUGCGAUGGAGACUGCAAGGCUUGAAUCUGGCAGAGGGGGGUAGAAUUCCACGUGUAGCAGUGAAAUGCGUAGAGAUGUGGAGGAACACCGAUGGCGAAGGCAGCCCCCUGGGUCAAGAUUGACGCUCAUGCACGAAAGCGUGGGGAGCAAACAGGAUUAGAUACCCUGGUAGUCCACGCCCUAAACGAUGUCUACUAGUUGUCGGGUUUUAAUUAACUUGGUAACGCAGCUAACGCGUGAAGUAGACCGCCUGGGGAGUACGGUCGCAAGAUUAAAACUCAAAGGAAUUGACGGGGACCCGCACAAGCGGUGGAUGAUGUGGAUUAAUUCGAUGCAACGCGAAAAACCUUACCUACCCUUGACAUGUCAGGAAUCCUGGAGAGAUCCGGGAGUGCCCGAAAGGGAACCUGAACACAGGUGCUGCA
rnacentral:rRNA from 1 species